rnacentral:rRNA from 1 species
UACGUAGGGACCAAGCGUUGUUCGGAUUUACUGGGCGUAAAGGGCGCGUAGGCGGCGCGGUAAGUCACUUGUGAAAUCUCUGAGCUUAACUCAGAACGGCCAAGUGAUACUGCAGUGCUAGAGUGUGGAAGGGGCAAUCGGAAUUCUUGGUGUAGCGGUGAAAUGCGUAGAUAUCAAGAGGAACACCUGAGGUGAAGACGGGUUGCUGGGCCAACACUGACGCUGAGGCGCGACAGCCAGGGGAGCAAACGGG